GAUGAAGAACGUAGCGAAAUGCGAUACGUAAUGUGAAUUGCAGAAUUCAGUGAAUCAUCGCGUCUUUGAACGCACAUUGCGCCCCCUGGUAUUCCGGGGGGCAUGCCUGUCCGAGCGUCAUUGCUGCCCUCAAGCACGGCUUGUGUGUUGGGCCUCCGUCCUCCUCCCGGGGGACGGGCCCGAAAGGCAGCGGCGGCACCGCGUCCGGUCCUCGAGCGUAUGGGGCUUCGUCACCCGCUCUUGUAGGCCCGGCCGGCGCUUGCCGACACAUCAAUCUUUUUUCCAGGUUGACCUCGGAUCAGGUAGGGAUACCCGCUGAACUUAAGCAUAUCAAUAAGCGGAGGA
rnacentral:misc_RNA from 1 species